GCAUAAUUAUUGACCCUGGUGGCAAAACAUACAGAGCAGAAAACAAUAAAAUAAAUAGAAAUCAGAGAGAUAAGCUUUGCUCCUUCUUAAUUUGGUCAUGCAAGAAUAAGUCACCUGAAUGUAAGAAACAGGGAACAUCUGAAAAAUCAAGUAAUUAUUGUUAUUUAGGACCAUACAAGUAUUGAGAAAUGUUCGAUGAUUCAGUGAGACUUCAUCAAAGUAGAAGAGUACAGAUUAACUCUCAUGUGAACAGUGAACUACAAGAAAAAUGCAAUAUCUAACACUAAGCAUGCUUUUCACUGUAGAGUUCAAUAAAAUAAAAUCUCAACCAAAUCUUUGGUUCAACAAUGGAACCAUCUCUCAUAAAACAAUUAGUUAUUUUCAAAAUUUUAUUUAGCAGUGACUUAUAAAUUUGAAAUGUAAUUUACCGAGUAACUUUUCUAUGGAACUUUUUCCUGAGGAGUUGAUACCAUAAGUAGGAUGGUAAAACUUAUCAAAAACCAAAAGCUGCACUUAUAAAUCAUAGAGUUUAACUAUCACUGCUAGGCCCAGAGUCAAAGACUUUUCAAGGUGGGAAUGGACGAUCGGAGAGUAAAAUUAACUUAAAUUACAAUCACUAAAGCAAAAAUAAUAAAAAAGCCAUAAAAUUUGCUCUAAUGUUGUCCCUUCUACAUUAUAUAAUUCUCUUCUUUCCCUCUUUUUUUAUCUGAAUUAUUAAAUAACAUAAUGAGUUUUUAAACAAAGGGAAAUAACUAGAAUUCUAAAUCACCAUACUCAAGAAAUAGAAGUAUAAUGUAUGCUAAUCUUUAACUUAAACCAUGUAAUGAGUCAUGCCAUGUAUUAAAUCUAUAAAUGGUAACAAUAGAUGGUGGUGUAUACAUAUUAUAUAUCUUUUCAUUUAUGUUUCUAAUGAUCAUAACAUUUCAUACUUAUGUUUCUUUUCUUUCUUUACAUCCGUCUCUCAAGUACCAUCUAAACACAAUCUAAUAUACCUAUGGUUGACACAGACUCUGUCGACACAACAGGGAGCACAACAGAUCUACUAUUAAUUGGGGUCAAAAGGCACCUACUUAGCCCUGGCUGGCACAUCUUCGGCACAACAGAGAUGCCCUAAAUUUUAAUCUGGUGUGCUCCAGCCUCAAUUGCACCCCCUUCACUGCUUGGUAGGUUGCUCAGACGAUAUGAGUUCUACACAGAGCGUCCGCAGGUUUUCUCUAAGUUGCACGUCCGGACGCAUAGACGCACAUGGAUGAAAUAGAGCACAAGCACCUCAGAGACAUGUAGAGGAGAGGGAGAGCGAGAUCCCGACAAAUGUCAGCAGUAGUGGUAGCCAAUAGCACUACGUAGUCUAAUUUUGAGAUUUGGCAACAUGCAUCAGGGAAGAAUGGGAGAGUUUAUGGCAUGAGACUGAAGGAGAUUGCACUUGAGGUAAAGCUUUCUUGUGUUCUUAAAGAAGUUCAAGAUCAUCAUUGUCAGUGCAUGACGAACUUGCCAGACUGGUCACUGUUAUGAGUGAUGAGAUCCGUUAUUUGAGUGAAAUCAACAAGACAAUCGAGGACACUCUAACAUGACUGACGAAGCAUAUUGCAGAUCGCCAUGGCAACAGACCCAUGAUUUUUAUGGUCGAGGAUGAGGACAUGGAUGAGUGAGAGGGAGAGGAUGCUCAUGAUGAUGCCCAAAAGAGAUCUGCACAUUUUUCAUAUUGUGUGUUGGUCAUAGUAUUUGCAAUUUGUAAUUGAAUUCUACGCAAAGAUGUGAACUUUUGUUCACUUAGCUUAAGGUUCGCAGAAAUAUAUUUGUUUUCAUUGUUGGUAUUUAUUUAUGCAUAAAUUUUGUGUUCUGCUAGUGGAUAAGUACAUAUUGAUCAAAUUGGUAUUCGUUGAAUCAAUUGUAUAAAUUUGAUUGUCCUUUUAUAUUUUUUUUACAAUUGCUACAAUUUUACUUCAAAUUUGCGACGGAAAUUUCUGACUAUAAUACCUCAAUAAUUUCCGUCGCAAUUUGAUAAUCUCUAACGCUAAAUGACCUACAGCAGAUUUAAUCGGACGCAAAACAUGACACAUUUGCAUUGGUCAAAAGUGAACGCAAAGCCUCUAGUUGACAUUUGUGUCCCCAUCGGGCACCUCGA